rnacentral:rRNA from 1 species
GAGGCAGCAGUAGGGAAUCUUCCGCAAUGGACGAAAGUCUGAUGGAGCACCACCGCGUGAGUGAUGAAGGUCUUCGGAUCGUAAAACUCUGUUGUUAGGGAAGAACUAGUAUCAGAUUAACUGCUCGUACCUUGACGGUACCUAACCAGAAAGCCACGGCUAACUACGUGCCAGCAGCCGCGGUAAUACGUAGGUGGCAAGCGUUGUCCGGAAUUAUUGGGCGUAAAGCGCGCGCAGGCGGUCCUUUAAGUCUGAUGUGAAAGCUCACGGCUCUACCGUGGAGGGUCAUUGGAAACUGCGGGACUUGAGUGCAGGAGAGAAGAGUGGAAUUCCACGUGUAGCGGUGAAAUGCGUAGAGAUGUGGAGGAACACCAGUGGCGAAGGCGACUCUCUGGCCCGUAACUGACGCUGAGGCGCGAAAGCGUGGGGAGCAAACACGAUUAGAUACCCUGGUAGUCCACGCCGUAAACGAUGAGUGCUAAGUGUUAGAGGGUUUCCGCCCUUUAGUGCUGCAGCAAACGCAGUAAG